rnacentral:lncRNA from 1 species
CACAUUUUCUGUAUUCAUUCCUCUGUUGAGGGGCAUCUGGGUUCCUUCCAGCUUCUGGCUAUUAUAAAUAAGGCUGCUAUGAACAUAAUAGAGCAUGUGUCCUUGUUAUAUGUUGGAGCAUCUUCUAGGCAUAUGCCCAGGAGUGAUAUUGCUCUGUCCUCAGUUAGUACUAUGUCCAAUUUUCUAAGGAGCCACCAUACUGAUUUCCAGAGUAGUUGUACCAGCUUGCACUCCCACCAACAAGGGAAGAAUGUUCCUCUUUUUCUACAUCCUUGCCAGCAUCUGCUGUCACCUGAGUUUUUUAUCUUAGCCAUUGUGACUGGUGUGAGGUGGAAUCUCAGGGUUGUUUUGAUUUGCAUUUCCCUGAUGACUAA